AUUACUUAUAUUAAAACAAAACAAUUUUGGCCACUUGGCAUUUGCUUAAACCUGUUUUUGCCACCUGUCAACUUAAUAUUCCACACAAAUCUUCUUUGGGCGGCAAUCCAUUUCUCUCUCUCUCUCUCUCAAAUUCCCAAGAACCUAGAUCCAGAUUUUCUCUUUCUCUCUGUCUUUCUGUAUUCACCCUUAAAUAAAUGAAGAAGAACAUCGUUCCAUUUGGUGAUGUCGAUUCAAGCCUAAAUCGCCACAAUUUCUGCUCUUACAUCUUUCUCCUUGAUCUAGGGUCCAGACCAUAGACCAUUAAAGGAGGCCGACUAAACUAGGGUUUCGACUACUGAUCUAUUUCUGCACGUAUGUUCUUCAGACAAUCAAGAAAAUGCAGACAUGUGUGAAGAUGUCUUCUGUCCAAUUGGUUACAAGACUGGAUUUCUCCGAUCUGCUUGGUUUGGAUGAUUUCAACUUCUUUCAUUUUCAAAACAAACUUUAUAAGAAAUUCAACAUGUGUAAGGGCAUUUAUAUAUGUUGAACCUGCUACAAAGUUUCUUUAGAAAAUAAAACAUAUGUAAAUUCAAGUACUGUUUAUUUUCAACUAUAGAAGAAAGAUAAGAGGUUAAUUUUAUUGAAUGUUUUAUUCGACAUGUUUACCUUUGUAAAUUGUUUGGAAACCAUAACUUGAAUUUCUUUCUAAUGUCUUUUUUUCUUUGUCUUGAUAAAUAUGAAAAUGGAAUUGCUGGCGCAUAGUAACGGCUGAUGAGUAUGAUCAUGCUGAGUUAUGUUAUGUAUCUUACGGAGUUUAAGUUUGGUGAUGACAAAAAAAGUAGCUGAUCUGUCACUAAAGGCUUAUCAAGAAAAUGGACUGUUGUAAAUCGGUACAGAAUUUGCCGAACCGUGUACAUAAAUAUGAUAUGGCACGGAAAGGCUACUCUGUUAAGAAAGGUCUUAAUUAUGCCCCAAAAGAAGGAAGCCUGCCACCGAUUUAAGAAAAGAAAAUCUUCAAAGUUACGCUCUCGAUCCUACGGAUGCUCUUACGUGAUCCUCAUGUGGUUAAAAGAGGUCCAUUUCACGUUUUUGUUUGAGGUGAAGAGGUCAGAUUUAUGCUUCAGUUUGACUAUAUACUGGUGCUGAAACUUUGGUGGUGACGUCUCAAGUUUCAGGAGCCGAGCGCUACCAAUUUUGGAGCGGAAAAAUCCGUUGUGUUCGUCGUCAUUGACCAAUCAUUGGCUCCCUGUUUCUCACAUAAAAAAGCUCCACCAAAAUCUCCCAAACGUCGUAAUUAUCCCCAAUCGCGGCGUCAUUGUUGAGUUGAAUACGUUAACAACCGAUGGGUUGGUCGGUCACAGGGUUUCACUCCGGCUAUGGCGAUGAUGCAGAGUUACAGAGGCUGCACUGGUGAAGAUCAGGUUUGCGACGACGUUUGUGGUGGUCAGAUGUGCUCCUGUGGUGAUUUAAGAUGAGACAACUUUGAGCAGAGUUUCGCGCUGUUUCCAGAAAAGAUGGGUAUUUGGAUCACAAGAACAAGGAACCGCGACACGAUAUGCCGGUAAUGGCGACAAAGAGGUGUCAAUGGUUUGGUUCUUGGGCGUUUAAUGGUUGUAGACGGCUGCAAGAGCCGAGCUAUCAGUGAUUGGCAAUUGAAGACGACGGUUGAUGUGCAUCUCCGACGAAUGGGAGUGAUGGGCCGAAUAUAUUCCAAGAUACACCAAACACCACCUCCUUUAAUCACUGCUGCUCGGCAGCCGGAGAGCGCCUCCGGCGCCGGCAAUCAUCACCGCCGCCUGUACUCAUUGCCACGGCCUCGACAACUUAUUGAUGGAUUAGGACGGAAGACAAAUUUUGUAGGUUUUCUUCACAGGGAUUCACUUCUCAUGUGGCUAACACCACCCCUGCAACCACAGGAGGCAAGAAGUCCUUGAAUUUCAACUGCCAUAGAGAUGCAUAAGGUUGAGAAGAAGAAGGUUGCUCAAAAAUAAAGCAAGAGAAACAACUAAACUAGCAUGAUUCUAUGAUCACAUAUUCUCAUCGACAAGUCGAUUUUGUUGGCUGCGGCACAAAAAGAAGGCCUUACACGGUGUGCCCCAAAUGCAGUCAAUCUAUACCUGAAGUUGCACUGAAUGGUUUUGCUCGCGUAGCGGGCAGCAGGGGAAAGCAAACAUAAUAUUAAGAUCCACCAUCGAAAAGACCAGGUAAAGGCGGGCUGGUGGAGUAAAGCUCGAUUUGCUAGAGACGUGUAACCAAAUAUAAAUUAUAGGUACGUUAUUGUGGUAAAAUUAGAGCUAUCUAACCAAAUAUUUUAGCUAUUACAUUAUUUGUCUCAUUGUAGUUUACUAAUUUAUUAUUACUUCAACGGUUAUUUAAUUCAAACGAUUACUUCAAUAAAUUAAACUUAUUCAUUUGUGUUUUA